rnacentral:rRNA from 1 species
UACGGAGGGUGCAAGCGUUAUCCGGAUUCACUGGGCGUAAAGGGUGCGUAGGUGGCUUGGUAAGUUCGAUGUGAAAUCUCCGGGCUUAACCCGGAAAUGGCAUUGAAUACUAUUGAGCUAGAGGUUUGGAGGGGGGACUGGAAUUCUCGGUGUAGCAGUUGAAAUGCGUAGAUAUUCGGAAGAACACCAGUGGCGAAGGCGGCUCACUGGACUGGUAUUGACGCUGAGGUGCGAAAGCGUGGGGAGCAAACAGGAUUGAGA